AGUUGGUGGGGUAGCAGCCUACCAAGGCAACGAUCAGUAGCCGGCCUGAGAGGGUGGACGGCCACACUGGGACUGAGACACGGCCCAGACUCCUACGGGAGGCAGCAGUGGGGAAUAUUGCGCAAUGGGGGAAACCCUGACGCAGCGACGCCGCGUGAGCGAAGAAGGCCUUAGGGUCGUAAAGCUCUGUUGUAAGGGACGAAUGUUUGUCUGGCGAACAGUCAGAUAAAGUGACGGUACCUUACCAGCAAGCCCCGGCUAACCACGUGCCAGCAGCCGCGGUAAGACGUAGGGGGCGAGCGUUGUCCGGAAUUACUGGGCGUAAAGAGCACGUAGGCGGAUAAUUAAGUCAGAUGUGAAAGACCGGGGCCCAACCUCGGGGUUGCAUCUGAAACUGGAUAUCUUGAGGGCAGGAGAGGAAAGUGGAAUUCCUGGUGUAGCGGUGAAAUGCGUAGAAAUCAGGAGGAAUACCAGUGGCGAAGGCGACUUUCUGGACUGACCCUGACGCUGAGGUGCGAAAGCGUGGGUAGCAAACAGGAUUAGAUACCCUGGUAGUCCACGCUGUAAACGAUGGAUACUAGGUGUGGGAGGUAU
rnacentral:rRNA from 1 species